GCCCCCGUAGCUCAACUGGCUAGAGCAGUCGGUUUUUACCCGAAAGGUUGAGAGUUCAAGUCUCUCCGGGGGCA
rnacentral:tRNA from 1 species